AUUGAACGCUGGCGGCAGGCUUAACACAUGCAAGUCGAACGAGUGGCGGACGGGCGAGUAAUGCAUGGGAAUCUGGCUUAUGGAGGGGGAUAAUUACGGGAAACUGUAGCUAAUACCGCGUAACACAGGAUGAGCCCAAGUGGGAUUAGGUAGUUGGUGAGGUAAAGGCUCACCAAGCCGACGAUCUCUAGCUGGUCUGCGAGGAUGACCAGCCACACUGGGACUGGGACACGGCCCAGACUCCUACGGGAGGCAGCAGUGGGGAAUAUUGCGCAAUGUAGGCAACCUGACGCAGCCAUGCCGCGUGAGUGAAGAAGGCCUUCGGGUUGUAAAGUUCUUUCGGUAGCGAGGCGUUAUCUACAGAGGAAGCACCGGCUAACUCCGUGCCAGCAGCCGCGGUAAUUC
rnacentral:rRNA from 1 species